AGAGAAUUUCACACUAAAUCUCCUCCAAAAGAUAGUCUGUGAUUGUCAGCGUUCUGCUCUGGUCAUCCUUGGCCGAGCCCAGGUCUAUUCCUUCCACUUCUGUGUACCUGACUGUCGAUGUGAGUGAUCGUGUUUUAGCUGAGAAGGUUUCAUAUCUCUUUAGAAAGCCUGAGGUUUCAGAUACAGUAAUUUUCAAGGCAUCUCCAAUGUUGCAGAAUUGUGGCCAAGGCUGCAGAUUAUGUUCAGGUACAUGAUGAGAAAUUGUUGGUGAAUGGUGAAAUUCAAAAUGAAAAUUACAUAUUGGAGCCUUUUACCUAUGAAAUGGAACCAAUUCUCAUUCCAGAAGGCUAUAUCUUUGUGAUGGAGGACAACUGCAACAACAAUUUUGACUCUCAUGACUGGUAAUUUCAACUCUCAGUAUUAUUUUCGAUUAUCCCCACUAAACAUUUUUGCUUCUGGGUUAGAGGUAUAUCCUUUGUUUACUCCCAGUCUCUGUGCAUUGAAUUGAUCUGUUUACUGUGUUUUGUUUGGUAGUGUGAUAUGAGUAACUUAUAUGUUUGUUUUUAGGCUGUUCACUACAGUGCACAAAACAAGUCUGUUUCAGAAUUUAAAAGCACAUUACUAAUACAACUCAGAGGUCAAUCUCCACAUCACAUUGAUUGACAACUUCCACAUUGCAAAGUAUUAAUUGUGUUAGCUACAAAACUACAUUCCUUUGCUUAAGCAAUUUUGUAA